ensembl:lncRNA
AAUAUGGCCACUGGAAACGAGAUAGAGAUGUAGAUUGUUCAGACCCUGAACAAGAAGAGGCUCCCAAACAAGUUCAAGAAUGUAGGGUACAACAGGACGUUUCUGAAUGGUGUAUUUGUGCCAAGUGUGAGCAAAUUCCUACAGAGCCUGAGAAUCAAUGCUGCAGGAAGAUACCACAGGUUACAAGAAGACUACUGCAGCUUCAGAACCAAACUAUCUGCAUGGUCGACCACCCAGGCCUGGAACCUGUGUUUGAAUGUGUUCUCACUACAGAAUGCAUUCAACAUUUACAGGGCAGAUUAUGGGCCUUUACGUCAAAGAGGAAUAGAGCAGUACGUUUUUUUUUUUUUAUGCAUGAGUUAUCAGUCAUUUCUGCAAUACAAAUAUGACUGGCGAAUAAAAUACAAUAAAUUACUCUUCCCCCUGAGUUACUUUGCUAACUGCUCAUCUUACACGUGUCAAUUGUUGACAUGUUACACAUCAAACACUAAAAGCACAGAAAUCUUUUUGUAUACACUAUACACAGAUUGCUAGAAAGAAUGCCACAGAGCUUUUUAAA